UACGUAGGUGGCAAGCGUUGUCCGGAUUUACUGGGUGUAAAGGGCGUGCAGCCGGAGAGACAAGUCAGAUGUGAAAUCCACAGGCUCAACUCGUGAACUGCAUUUGAAACUGUUUCCCUUGAGUGUCGGAGAGGUAAUCGGAAUUCCUUGUGUAGCGGUGAAAUGCGUAGAUAUAAGGAAGAACACCAGUGGCGAAGGCGGAUUACUGGACGAUAACUGACGGUGAGGCGCGAAAGCGUGGGGAGCAAACAGG
rnacentral:rRNA from 1 species